rnacentral:rRNA from 1 species
UACGUAGGGUGCAAGCGUUGUCCGGAUUUAUUGGGCGUAAAGAGCUCGUAGGUGGUUCGGUAAGUCGGGUGUGAAACCUCCAGGCUCAACCUGGAGACGCCACCCGAUACUGCUGUGACUGGAGUCCGGUAGGGGAGCGUGGAAUUCCUGGUGUAGCGGUGAAAUGCGCAGAUAUCAGGAGGAACACCGGUGGCGAAGGCGGGUCUCUGGGCCGUAACUGACGCUGAGGAGCGAAAGCGUGGGGAGCGAACAGG